UGUGACUGGUGCUGAUGGCUGCCCCAAUUUCAGCCUGUUCAAGCCUCAGGGCACAGUGAGAUGUCAAUGUAGUGAUCAGCGUUCCCUGGUGGACUUUUCUGGACCUUGGGCCCACCUAAUGGUGCCAAGUUUCGGUGUCACAGAGGGCUGUGUCUGCAUAUGGGGUAGGAUAAGGAAUAAUUACCAUAUAAUUAUGAUCCAGGUAAAUGCUGCAGCCAACACAUGCCUGAGAAAGAGGGGUUCGUGGAGGGGAAAAGGGAAAUGGGAUUUUUAAAUUAGAGAUGGGUGGUCCUGGUGAUCAUACACUGAGCUGAAGAUCUGAAUUUACAUCCUUGUUAAUAUCUGGAGGGACUGUGACAGCCUGGGGGAGUGGACAGCAAGCCGUUUUUCUCCGCUUUGUAUUUGCUCCCUGGGAGAAGGGGAAUGGUGGGGGCUUGUUGAAGGGCUGUUGAUUAAAUCACAAAAAUGUGAAUAUUGGCACCGAGGCUGGAAAAGAGCAGCGCGGUUGCCCACUCCCCUCUCAGUCCCCACAGGUUUGUUCUUCACCAGGGAUUAUUUGUGCCCUCGUCUGUCCCGUUUGAAAUGUCACAUCUCCUGCUGCAAUUGGAAGGAGCUUUUAUCCGUGGGGUGUGUGUGCGUGUGUAUGUGUGUCUGAGGGGGCGUUUUCGUCGCCGCUAGGUGAAUGUUUUAGUAAGCAAUGUCCAACACAUCACACGAACGCUUGAAAAGAAGCAUUUUGCUAUUACUAAAGACUGUUAUUGCAGCUUGCGUGACCUUUCAGAGAUCUCUGGGAACUCGCAAGAAGGAGCAGGCUUAUAAAAAGGGAGCACGAUUUUAUUUUUAAACUGGGGCAUAGGAGAGAGGUGGUUUAAGCCUGCUCAGUUCCCCAAAGGAGCUGCUCUCGCCCUCACAGGGCUCACCAGCAACCUCCUCCAGGCAGCUGGCAGCAAACAUCUCCACAUUUUGGUGGAGAUAAGGCAAGAGAUGCCCAAGGGCAAUACCCCAUGGCUAUGUAGCAGCCCCAUGCCCUGCUCUGAGGGUGUCAGCACCCCCUUUGUUAUUCAGGGAGUGGGCUGCUGAGCUGGGCAGGGGGCUGCGGGACCUGCUGUGGGGGGCUCCAAGGCAGCAGAAAGCGUGCUCGGAAUAUGCAAAGGAUGAGGAUGGGGCUUGGUGUGGGGCCAACAGCAUCCAGGGUGUCCAGAGUUUGGCACAGUUUCUGUCACAGGCUUGUCCCAUGCCCCCCAGCACUCUUCUGGGCGUGGGAGGGAUGAUGGUGUGAGCCAGGCACUUCUCUCCCUGAGAAAUCUGGAUAAAACCAACCAGUCUAGAGGUAAAGAGAAACAUUACUGUAAGCCCCUGUACCAUUUGUAGUAAGCAGAUCUCACACUGCUUAAUUUACCAGUACAGACACACUGAAUGUGCCUUGAAGUUCAGGAAAGAAUGGUCUUGCUAGAGGGUUUCACCCCAAAUAUGAAGUCCCUUGUGUUCUGAUUUCGCAAUAACAUCUGCAACCACGGGAUGAAAUAUUCAGUUUCUACCAAUAUAGCAUUAGCUAUUGAGUAGACACACUCUUUUUAAUGGAGCAAAGUAUAGCUCCAAAUGAGUCCACAUGGCAGAGCAGAGGCCUCGGCUAUAAUGUAUAAUUUCACAGAAUU
ensembl:lncRNA